GCGGCCCGGGAAUCUACGUCACCCGAAAAGCGACUAUAAACGCCGGCGCCUCCGUCCCCAGCCGCGGCUCGGGAAUCCACCCGAAGAGUGGCUAUAAACGUCCGCGCCUCCAUUGCGCUCUCCUCUUCACUUAGGACACUGGUCCUCCCACGCCUGACACCGACGUCGCCAGGACCGCGGGGUUGGGGGAACUUGGCUGUCCCACGUCUUUCAAAUAAAGCUGUUUUGUCUAA